GAGUUCUUUACCGCUGAGCCACCAAGGAAGCCGUUUUAAGGGUGAAAGCUGUAAUGUACAUAUAAGUAUAUAUUUCAAGCUACUAAAAUAAGCGAAACAUUUCAGUAUACUAGGAAAGAUAUGAGAAAUGAAAAUGCAUUUUGUUAAGGGGAAAAGUAACAUGGUCCCGAAGUUGGUUAUUUCUAAAUAGGAAAGAAAAUAAGGGCCAAGCUAAUACGGGAAAAGGAAAGUUGUGACAGGUGUGUAACGAAGGAGCCCAGAACCCAAAAUGUCUAAGAGAUUGAACUAGGGUUGUGUGGUAUGUUUAACCACAUGGGAAGCACUGUCAAAACUUCCUUAGGUUAUAAUGCAUGGCUAAGUGUCGUUAUUAUAUUCUAGAAACUGUAUGGAAUUCUGAAAAAUCUGUUGGUCCUGAUAACAAAACUAGAAUUUUGACAUUUUAAUUAAAGUGUUUACUAAGACUCA